UGGGGAAUAUUGCGCAAUGGGGGGAACCCUGACGCAGCCAUGCCGCGUGAAUGAAGAAGGCCUUAGGGUUGUAAAGUUCUUUCGGUAUUGAGGAAGGUUGAUGUGUUAAUAGCACAUCAAAUUGACGUUAAAUACAGAAGAAGCACCGGCUAACUCCGUGCCAGCAGCCGCGGUAAUACGGAGGGUGCGAGCGUUAAUCGGAAUAACUGGGCGUAAAGGGCACGCAGGCGGUUAUUUAAGUGAGGUGUGAAAGCCCCGGGCUUAACCUGGGAAUUGCAUUUCAGACUGGGUAACUAGAGUACUUUAGGGAGGGGUAGAAUUCCACGUGUAGCGGUGAAAUGCGUAGAGAUGUGGAGGAAUACCGAAGGCGAAGGCAGCCCCUUGGGAAUGUACUGACGCUCAUGUGCGAAAGCGUGGGGAGCAAACAGGAUUAGAUACCCUGGUAGUCCACGCUGUAAACGCUGUCGAUUUGGGGGUUGGGGUUUAACUCUGGCGCCCGUAGCUAACGUGAUAAAUCGACCGCCUGGGGAGUAGCAAGUA
rnacentral:rRNA from 1 species